rfam:Idiomarina sp. MCCC 1A10513 contig7, whole genome shotgun sequence.
UGUUGGUGCUGAAUUAGUGAUUGGCGCCAACGUUUUUAUCCAAACUAGGAGUUUUAUAUGUCACUAACUGCGGCAAAGAAAGCUGAAAUCGUUAAAGAAUUCGGUCAAGGCGAA